ensembl:lncRNA
GUUCAUGUGUGCGAAAUGUUUCUAGAACCAUAUAAACUGAGCUUUGUUUAUAUUCUGUUUAGAAUUCUGAGGCAUUAUUACACUCUUUGAUCUAUGUUGACCAAAGAAAAAUGUAUGUCUUCAAACGAGUGCUCUGGAAAAGUCCUCUGUAACAAAUAGCUACAGAUUUCUUCUAUCCAAGGAGGACACCUAGAGGCUACUUUCGUGAUGUGAUUGCCAAUCCUGAAAUGCUUUCCAAAUUGUUUUCUUCACAGAUCCAAUCAUAAAUCAUUCAUUGCAGGUCCAGUAAGUCCAGGUAAAACAAUGAAUAACUAAUCUUUAAGGAGAGGAAAAAGGUGAAAAUAAGUUACAUUUAUUUUCCAGGCACAGUAGAAGUACAUUACAAGAUACAGAAGAACUCUUAAAGAAAGCAGAGUCACGAGAGAUACAGUUAGGAAGCUGGAGAAGAAACAAGGAAGCUAAGGAAAGUCUGUCAAGCCCUCUCAUGGAAAACCUGUGAAAAUAUCUUUGCAGCUUCUUCCUCUGCACUUGCAGCCUUUCUACAUAGCUCAGGGGGAAAUACAGUAGUUUUGAAGUCAAUAAUCACUUAUUCACUAAAGGAAGACACUUGUGUAUACAAUAAAGGAUGGCAU